rnacentral:rRNA from 1 species
AUUGAACGCUGGCGGCAGGCCUAACACAUGCAAGUCGAGCGGAUGAAAGGAGCUUGCUCCUGGAUUCAGCGGCGGACGGGUGAGUAAUGCCUAGGAAUCUGCCUGGUAGUGGGGGAUAACGUCCGGAAACGGGCGCUAAUACCGCAUACGUCCUGAGGGAGAAAGUGGGGGAUCUUCGGACCUCACGCUAUCAGAUGAGCCUAGGUCGGAUUAGCUAGUUGGUGGGGUAAAGGCCCACCAAGGCGACGAUCCGUAACUGGUCUGAGAGGAUGAUCAGUCACACUGGAACUGAGACACGGUCCAGACUCCUACGGGAGGCAGCAGUGGGGAAUAUUGGACAAUGGGCGAAAGCCUGAUCCAGCCAUGCCGCGUGUGUGAAGAAGGUCUUCGGAUUGUAAAGCACUUUAAGUUGGGAGGAAGGGCAGUAAGUUAAUACCUUGCUGUUUUGACGUUACCAACAGAAUAAGCACCGGCUAACUUCGUG